CGUGGGUAACCUGCCCAAGAGAUCGGGAUAACACCUGGAAACAGAUGCUAAUACCGGAUAACAACAGAUGAUGCCUAUCAACUGUUUAAAAGAUGGUUCUGCUAUCACUCUUGGAUGGACCUGCGGUGCAUUAGCUAGUUGGUAGGGUAACGGCCUACCAAGGCGAUGAUGCAUAGCCGAGUUGAGAGACUGAUCGGCCACGUUGGGACUGAGACACGGCCCAAACUCCUACGGGAGGCAGCAGA
rnacentral:rRNA from 1 species